AACGGACGCUGGCGGCAGGCUUAACACAUGCAAGUCGAACGCAUCCUUCGGGGUGAGUGGCAGACGGGUGAGUAACGCGUGGGAACGUGCCCUUCAGUUCGGGAUAACCCAGGGAAACUUGGGCUAAUACCGGAUACGUGCGAGAGCAGAAAGAUUUAUCGCAGAAGGAUCGGCCCGCGUCUGAUUAGCUAGUUGGUGGGGUAAUGGCCCACCAAGGCGACGAUCAGUAGCUGGUCUGAGAGGAUGAUCAGCCACAUUGGGACUGAGACACGGCCCAAACUCCUACGGGAGGCAGCAGUGGGGAAUAUUGGACAAUGGGCGCAAGCCUGAUCCAGCCAUGCCGCGUGAGUGAUGAAGGCCUUAGGGUUGUAAAGCUCUUUCGUCCGGGACGAUAAUGACGGUACCGGAAGAGGAAGCCCCGGCUAACUUCGUGCCAGCCGCCGCGGUAA
rnacentral:rRNA from 1 species